UACGUAGGGGGCUAGCGUUGUCCGGAAUCAUUGGGCGUAAAGCGCGCGUAGGCGGCCCGGUAAGUCCGCUGUAAAAGUCAAAGGCUCAACCUUUGAAUGUCAGUGGAUACUGCCGGGCUAGAGUCCGGAAGAGGCGAGUGGAACUCCUGGUGUAGCGGUGGAAUGCGCAGAUAUCAGGAGGAACACCGGUGGCGAAGGCGGUUCUCUGGGAAUGUCCUGACGCUGAGGAGCGAAAGUGUGGGGAGCGAACAGG
rnacentral:rRNA from 1 species